UACGUAGGUGGCAAGCGUUGUCCGGAUUUACUGGGCGUAAAGAGCGCGCAGGCGGUCGAAUAAGUCGAAUGUGAAAGCCCCCGGCUUAACUGGGGAGGGUCAUUCGAUACUGCUCGACUUGAAGGCAGGAGAGGGUAGUGGAAUUCCCGGUGUAGUGGUGAAAUGCGUAGAUAUCUGGAGGAACAUCAGUGGCGAAGGCGACACCCUGGACUCAUACUGACACUGAGGUGCGAAAGCGUGGGUAGCAAACAGG
rnacentral:rRNA from 1 species